rnacentral:rRNA from 1 species
AUUGAACGCUGGCGGCAGGCCUAACACAUGCAAGUCGAACGAGUGGCGGACGGGUGAGUAAUGUCUGGGAAACUGCCUGAUGGAGGGGGAUAACUACUGGAAACGGUCGCUAAUACCGCAUACACUCGGAUGUGCACAGAUGGGAUUAGCUAGUAGGUGGGGUAACGGCUCACCUAGGCGACGAUCCCUAGCUGGUCUGAGAGGAUGACCAGCGAAACGGGAACUGAGACACGGCCCAGCGCCCUAGGGGAGGAAGCAGGGGGGAAUUGGGCCAAAUGGCCGAAAGCCUGAGGCAGCAAUGCCGCUGGGAGGAGGAGGGCCUCAGGGUUUUAAAGUCCUUUCAGCGGGGAGGCGGUACCCGCAGAAGAAGCACCGGCUAACUACGUGCCAGCAGCCGCGGUAAUUC